GGGUCAAUGAUCAAAUCUUUCCUUGAUUCUAGAGAUGGGCUGUCUUAAAAGUCAUGGUCAAUAUAGUUAUGCUUAGGACGCUC
rnacentral:snoRNA from 1 species